UUAAGCGACUAAGCGUACACGGUGGAUGCCCUGGCAGUCAGAGGCGAUGAAGGACGUGCUAAUCUGCGAUAAGCGUCGGUAAGGUGAUAUGAACCGUUAUAACCGGCGAUUUCCGAAUGGGGAAACCCAGUGUGUUUCGACACACUAUCAUUAACUGAAUCCAUAGGUUAAUGAGGCGAACCGGGGGAACUGAAACAUCUAAGUACCCCGAGGAAAAGAAAUCAACCGAGAUUCCCCCAGUAGCGGCGAGCGAACGGGGAGCAGCCCAGAGYCUGAAUCAGUGUGUGUGUUAGUGGAAGCGUCUGGAAAGGCGCGCGAUACAGGGUGACAGCCCCGUACACAAAAAUGCACAURYUGUGAGCUCGAUGAGUAGGGCGGGACACGUGGUAUCCUGUCUGAAUAUGGGGGGACCAUCCUCCAAGGCUAAAUACUCCUGACUGACCGAUAGUGAACCAGUACCGUGAGGGAAAGGCGAAAAGAACCCCGGCGAGGGGAGUGAAAAAGAACCUGAAACCGUGUACGUACAAGCAGUGGGAGCACGCUUAGGCGUGUGACUGCGUACCUUUUGUAUAAUGGGUCAGCGACUUAUAUUCUGUAGCAAGGUUAACCGAAUAGGGGAGCCGAAGGGAAACCGAGUCUUAACUGGGCGUUAAGUUGCAGGGUAUAGACCCGAAACCCGGUGAUCUAGCCAUGGGCAGGUUGAAGGUUGGGUAACACUAACUGGAGGACCGAACCGACUAAUGUUGAAAAAUUAGCGGAUGACUUGUGGCUGGGGGUGAAAGGCCAAUCAAACCGGGAGAUAGCUGGUUCUCCCCGAAAGCUAUUUAGGUAGCGCCUCGUGAAUUCAUCUCCGGGGGUAGAGCACUGUUUCGGCAAGGGGGUCAUCCCGACUUACCAACCCGAUGCAAACUGCGAAUACCGGAGAAUGUUAUCACGGGAGACACACGGCGGGUGCUAACGUCCGUCGUGAAGAGGGAAACAACCCAGACCGCCAGCUAAGGUCCCAAAGUCAUGGUUAAGUGGGAAACGAUGUGGGAAGGCCCAGACAGCCAGGAUGUUGGCUUAGAAGCAGCCAUCAUUUAAAGAAAGCGUAAUAGCUCACUGGUCGAGUCGGCCUGCGCGGAAGAUGUAACGGGGCUAAACCAUGCACCGAAGCUGCGGCAGCGACGCUUAUGCGUUGUUGGGUAGGGGAGCGUUCUGUAAGCCUGUGAAGGUGUGCUGUGAGGCAUGCUGGAGGUAUCAGAAGUGCGAAUGCUGACAUAAGUAACGAUAAAGCGGGUGAAAAGCCCGCUCGCCGGAAGACCAAGGGUUCCUGUCCAACGUUAAUCGGGGCAGGGUGAGUCGACCCCUAAGGCGAGGCCGAAAGGCGUAGUCGAUGGGAAACAGGUUAAUAUUCCUGUACUUGGUGUUACUGCGAAGGGGGGACGGAGAAGGCUAUGUUGGCCGGGCGACGGUUGUCCCGGUUUAAGCGUGUAGGCUGGUUUUCCAGGCAAAUCCGGAAAAUCAAGGCUGAGGCGUGAUGACGAGGCACUACGGUGCUGAAGCAACAAAUGCCCUGCUUCCAGGAAAAGCCUCUAAGCAUCAGGUAACAUCAAAUCGUACCCCAAACCGACACAGGUGGUCAGGUAGAGAAUACCAAGGCGCUUGAGAGAACUCGGGUGAAGGAACUAGGCAAAAUGGUGCCGUAACUUCGGGAGAAGGCACGCUGAUAUGUAGGUGAAGUCCCUUGCGGAUGGAGCUGAAAUCAGUCGAAGAUACCAGCUGGCUGCAACUGUUUAUUAAAAACACAGCACUGUGCAAACACGAAAGUGGACGUAUACGGUGUGACGCCUGCCCGGUGCCGGAAGGUUAAUUGAUGGGGUCAGCGCAAGCGAAGCUCUUGAUCGAAGCCCCGGUAAACGGCGGCCGUAACUAUAACGGUCCUAAGGUAGCGAAAUUCCUUGUCGGGUAAGUUCCGACCUGCACGAAUGGCGUAAUGAUGGCCAGGCUGUCUCCACCCGAGACUCAGUGAAAUUGAACUCGCUGUGAAGAUGCAGUGUACCCGCGGCAAGACGGAAAGACCCCGUGAACCUUUACUAUAGCUUGACACUGAACAUUGAGCCUUGAUGUGUAGGAUAGGUGGGAGGCUUUGAAGUGUGGACGCCAGUCUGCAUGGAGCCGACCUUGAAAUACCACCCUUUAAUGUUUGAUGUUCUAACGUUGACCCGUAAUCCGGGUUGCGGACAGUGUCUGGUGGGUAGUUUGACUGGGGCGGUCUCCUCCUAAAGAGUAACGGAGGAGCACGAAGGUUGGCUAAUCCUGGUCGGACAUCAGGAGGUUAGUGCAAUGGCAUAAGCCAGCUUGACUGCGAGCGUGACGGCGCGAGCAGGUGCGAAAGCAGGUCAUAGUGAUCCGGUGGUUCUGAAUGGAAGGGCCAUCGCUCAACGGAUAAAAGGUACUCCGGGGAUAACAGGCUGAUACCGCCCAAGAGUUCAUAUCGACGGCGGUGUUUGGCACCUCGAUGUCGGCUCAUCACAUCCUGGGGCUGAAGUAGGUCCCAAGGGUAUGGCUGUUCGCCAUUUAAAGUGGUACGCGAGCUGGGUUUAGAACGUCGUGAGACAGUUCGGUCCCUAUCUGCCGUGGGCGCUGGAGAAYUGAGGGGGGCUGCUCCUAGUACGAGAGGACCGGAGUGGACGCAUCACUGGUGUUCGGGUUGUCAUGCCAAUGGCACUGCCCGGUAGCUAAAUGCGGAAGAGAUAAGUGCUGAAAGCAUCUAAGCACGAAACUUGCCCCGAGAUGAGUUCUCCCUGACUCCUUGAGAGUCCUGAAGGAACGUUGAAGACGACGACGUUGAUAGGCCGGGUGUGUAAGCGCAGCGAUGCGUUGAGCUAACCGGUACUAAUGAACCGUGAGGCUUAACCUU
rnacentral:rRNA from 1 species